GUAGUUACUUGGCAGGGGAGAUGCUGUGGUCACAAACAUUGGUUUUCCUUGGUGUGGCUGACUCACUGCAUCUGGAUGUGCUAACCCCUGCAGUUUCACCAAAUGCGUGAAACUUACUAUAUGAUUUGUGGUAGUGGGGAACUGUGUUCAUGUUCUCCUCU